rnacentral:lncRNA from 1 species
UAUAAAUAAAGAUACUCUUAUGUUUAUUUUGUUUUGAUAAGAAAUUCCGUUUAUCCAUGAAAAUGUCUUAUCACCAUAAAUCGGGUGCUCUAAAACGAAAGAUACGCGAAGAAAAA